GAUGAAGAACGUAGUGAAAUGCGAUACUUGGUGUGAAUUGCAGAAUCCCGUGAACCAUCGAGUUUUUGAACGCAAGUUGCGCCCGAAGCCUCGGCUAAGGGCACGUCUGCCUGGGCGUCACGCAUCGCGUCUCCCCCAAACCGCCAAGGCGGAGGGGAAGGAAGAUGGCUUCCCGUGCCUCACCCGGGCGCGGUUGGCCUAAAUUUGGAGCCCGCGGCACUUAGCUCUCGCGGCGAUAGGUGGUGAACAAGGCCUUGGCCGUGCAAACAACCCGCUGCGAAGCUCUAUGUCACGUGCGCUCGUCGGACCCUUUGAAGUUGCCUUUGGUGACUUAAAACCUUUGCGACCCCAGGUCAGGCGGGGCUACCCGCUGAAUUUAAGCAUAUCAAUAAGCGGAGGA
rnacentral:misc_RNA from 1 species